AAGGGCUUGGUCCUGACCCUUAGAUCAGUUUUCACUCAACUUACACAUGCAAGUUUCCGCACCCCUGUGAGUAAACGCCCCUCUCACCCUUUCAGGAAGAAGGAGCCGGUAUAAGGCACAACACUUUGCCCAAAACACCUAGCCUCGCCACACCCACACGGGACUUCAGCAGUGACUAAUAUUGAGAAUGAGCGACAGCUCGACUCAGUCAGAGUGAUAAAGAGCCGGCCAAUCUGGUGCCAGCUGCCGCGGUUACACCAGCGGCUCAAAUUGAUUUAUUUCGGCGUAAAGUGUGGUCAGAGCCUUUCUCCCCCCCCCCCAACUAGAGCUUAACCGAAACUAAGCCGUAAAAAACUUUUUUCUCGGAGACCCAAGAACGAAAGUCGCUCUAUUACAUUCUUGAAUCCACGACAGCUAGGAUACAAACUGGGAUUAGAUACCCCACUAUGCCUAGCAGUAAACUUUUAAUAACACCGACAAUCGCCAGGGAACUACGAGCAAUGCUUAAAACCCAAAGGACUUGACGGUGCCCCAUAUCCCCCUAGAGGAGCCUGUCCUACAACCGAUGAUCCCCGUUUAACCUCACCCCUACUUGCCUUUUCAGCCUGUAUACCUCCGUCGUCAGCCCACCACGUGAGUGAAACUCAGUGGGCUCAACUGCUAAAUUUAACGCUAAUACGUCAGGUCAAGGUGCAGCUUAUGUAGCGGAAAGAGAUGGGCUACACUCUCUAACCUAGAAGAUACGAAAGACUGUAUGAAACCCAGUCCGAAGGAGGAUUUAGUAGUAAGAAGAAACUAGAGUGUCCUUCUUAACCCGGCCCUGGGGUGUGUACACACCGCCCGUCACCCUCUUCAAAAAAAACAUUCUCUGUAUUUAACCAAUCACAAUAAUAAAGAAGAGGCAAGUCGUAACAUGGUAAGCGUACCGGAAGGUGUGCUUGGAAA
rnacentral:ncRNA from 1 species